ACUCCUGGAGCGGGGGGAGACUAACCCCUCUCCUGUGUCCACAACUGUAGUAACACAAUCCUCGGUUCUGCUCUCCAAACUUCAAAUAAGGGGUCAGAGCCAAGGGUCAAGACUUUAGGAAAAGCCCCGGAAAUACCCUGCACUCAAAAAGCAGUUUCAGAGUUUCACAUUUUCCUGAGAAUUAAACAAAUUAUCCUCCAAAUUCUGCUGCUUGUUUUGAAUUAUGGUUAUACUGGCAAUGUUAUCCAACCCUUGAGUUGUUUUUCUUUUCUUUUUUUUUUUUUCCUCGAGAGAGUGUCUUGCUCUGUCACCCAGGCUGGAAUGCAGUGGCAUGAUCUCGGCUCACUGCAACCUCCGCCUCCUGGGUUCAAGUGGUUUUCAUGCCUCAGUUUCCCAAGUAGCUGGGAUUACAGGUGUGAGCCACUGUGCCCGGCCCUGUUACCUUUGAGUUUUUAUCUCCACAUACUUAUAUUAAACCGUGUAGUUCUUCUUCCCAUCUGACAUCUACAAUCUCUUCACUGGGUCUGUACUCCAUAGCUAUUUUACCACUUUCUGAAAUA
rnacentral:lncRNA from 10 species